rnacentral:rRNA from 1 species
ACGAGCUUCUAGCUUAAAACCCAAAGGACUUGACGGUACCCCACCCUACUAGAGGAGCCUGUUCUAUAAUCGAUAACCCACGAUAUACCAAACCAUUUCUUGCCUCAGCCUGUAUACCUCCGUCGUAAGCUUACCCUGUGAAUGCACAUAGUAGGCUCAAAGGCCUAACACCCAAACGUCAGGUCAAGGUGCAGCCUAUGAAAUGGAAGCUAUGGGCUACAAUUUCUAAUCUUAGAACUAAUCAAAAUACUACAUGAAAUAUAGUUAUAAAGAAGGAUUUAGCAGUAAAUAAGGAAUAGAGAGCCUUAUUGAACCUGAGCUCUGGGGUAUGUACACACC